rnacentral:tRNA from 1 species
GGUUAGUUGGCUCAGUCAGUAAAGCGUCUGUCUGUCGAACAAAAGAUCGUGGGUUCGAAUCCAACCCA